UUUUAAAAUAAAAAGCUCCUUCUAAGUAGAGGGUGUUAUAUUUUAUGUUGUUUUGUUUUAUUUUUGAUACAGGGUCUCACAUUGUCACCCAGGCUGGAGGGCAGUGGCUUGAUCAUGGCUCACUGCAGCCUUGACUUCCCGGGCUCAAGUAAUCCUCUCUUCUCAGCCUCUCAAGUAGCUGGGACUAUAGGCACAUGCCACCACACCCAGCUAUUUCAGAUGGGAAAGCUGACACCAUGGUCAACAAUGAAGAAGCAUUUAUUAAUCGACUUGGGGUGGUCUGGCUUUUACAUUGAAGCCCUCCUCCUCCACCUCCUCCUCCUCCCUUUCUCUAUGCCUCUCCCAACCUCCAUCAUUUUCAAGAGUCUGAGAGGAUCUAUGGAAUCAGCGGAGCUGGAUGUCACCAGGGAGAUGGCACAGGAAGGAAGAAAGGCAUCUUGGGAAGUAUAUAAAGAAGUCGUUUCACAGCUUACAGAGGCACAACCACAAUUCUCCCUCAGACCUCAGACUUAGAACUUUGUGCCUGUGAAGUAUAAUAACCAUAGGAAAUUGUCAAAGGUCGUUGCACUUUGCUAAGAAACCCUAGAUCCUGCUACACUCCAUGUGGGUGGAGAGAAGUGGCUGCCCCAGGUCCACGGACCUACUCUGCUAUUUGGCAUUCAUGUGAGCAUGAACAAGCACCUAGUUCAGACUUCAUUUUCCCAUCUACAAAAUAAAGACAAGAACACAGACCUCAGAAG